rnacentral:rRNA from 1 species
GAUGAACGCUAGCGGCAGGCCUAACACAUGCAAGUCGAGGGGUAGCAGGAUUAAGCUUGCUUAAUUGCUGACGACCGGCGCACGGGUGCGUAACGCGUAUGCAACCUACCUUAUACUGGGGUAUAGCCCGGAGAAAUUCGGAUUAAUCCCCCAUAGUACUAAUGAAUCGCAUGGUUUAUUAGUUAAAGCAUUGCGGUAUAAGAUGGGCAUGCGUCCUAUUAGCUAGAUGGUGAGGUAACGGCUCACCAUGGCUACGAUAGGUAGGGGGCCUGGGAGGGUGGGCCCCCACACUGGUACUGAGACAAGGACCAGAAUCCUACGGGAGGCAGCAGUGAGGAAUAUUGGUCAAUGGGCGAAAGCCUGAACCAGCCAUGCCGCGUGCAGGAAGAAUGCCCUAUGGGUUGUAAACUGCUUUUAUUUGGGAAUAAACCUCUUUACGUGUAGAGAGCUGAAGGUACCAAAUGAAUAAGCACCGGCUAACUCCGUGCCAGCAGCCGCCGUAA